GAAUCUUUGUUACCAGUUUCCUCACCAAGAUAUCCAAAAGAAAAUACUAGCCAUGGCUAAAUACACAGCCUUCAUUGCCCUCAUCUUCUGUCUUCUCCUUGUUGCUGCUACUGAAAUGCAAAUGGCAGAAGGAAAAUACUGCUGGAAGAAAAGUCACAAGUGGCAUGGGCCUUGCCACUAUUCUUACAAAUGUAGCCACCACUGUAAGCACUAUUUUGGAGCUGAAUAUGGAAUUUGUAAGAAAUAUCAAUGGGGACACAAACAUCAUCACUGGAUAAAAUAUGCUUGCUAUUGCUAUUCUCCUUGCCAUUAAUCACGAGGAAUUGACUUUAGAGCCUCAACGAUUUGCUUGGAGUGAUAUAUAUAAAUAAGAAACUGACUUGUUGUGUUUGCAGAGUAUAAUUACUGCAUCAACAAUCAGUUAGUGUGAUUUUGUUAUGUGUUUGUGUAUGUCACAAUGUAAUAAGUUUUGUUAUUAAGUCUCUAGCUUGACUUUUUUAGUCGAGCUAAUAGUAUUUGCCUGAAGAAUUAUGUUGCUUUCAUUUUAUUUUAUGUUUCUAUAUUGGUGUUUAAUGUGAGGUUGUGAACCAUUGUAUUACACUGCAUAAUACUAAUAUUUUUAUUAAAAUAUCA